rnacentral:rRNA from 2 species
UUAAGCGACUAAGCGUACACGGUGGAUGCCCUGGCAGUCAGAGGCGAUGAAGGACGUGCUAAUCUGCGAAAAGCGUCGGUAAGGUGAUAUGAACCGUUAUAACCGGCGAUGUCCGAAUGGGGAAACCCAGUGCAAUUCGUUGCACUAUCGUUAACUGAAUACAUAGGUUAACGAGGCGAACCGGGGGAACUGAAACAUCUAAGUACCCCGAGGAAAAGAAAUCAACCGAGAUUCCCCCAGUAGCGGCGAGCGAACGGGGAGCAGCCCAGAGUCUGAAUCAGCUUGUGUGUUAGUGGAACGGUCUGGAAAGUCCGACGGUACAGGGUGAUAGUCCCGUACACCAAAAUGCACAGGUUGUGAACUCGAAGAGUAGGGCGGGACACGUGGUAUCCUGUCUGAAUAUGGGGGGACCAUCCUCCAAGGCUAAAUACUCCUGACUGACCGAUAGUGAACCAGUACCGUGAGGGAAAGGCGAAAAGAACCCCGGCGAGGGGAGUGAAAAAGAACCUGAAACCGUGUACGUACAAGCAGUGGGAGCACCUUCGGGUGUGACUGCGUACCUUUUGUAUAAUGGGUCAGCGACUUAUAUUCUGUAGCAAGGUUAACCGUAUAGGGGAGCCGCAGGGAAACCGAGUCUUAACUGGGCGUUAAGUUGCAGGGUAUAGACCCGAAACCCGGUGAUCUAGCCAUGGGCAGGUUGAAGGUUGGGUAACACUAACUGGAGGACCGAACCGACUAAUGUUGAAAAAUUAGCGGAUGACUUGUGGCUGGGGGUGAAAGGCCAAUCAAACCGGGAGAUAGCUGGUUCUCCCCGAAAGCUAUUUAGGUAGCGCCUCGUGAAUUCAUCUUCGGGGGUAGAGCACUGUUUCGGCUAGGGGUCAUCCCGACUUACCAACCCGAUGCAAACUACGAAUACCGAAGAAUGUUAUCACGGGAGACACACGGCGGGUGCUAACGUCCGUCGUGAAGAGGGAAACAACCCAGACCGCCAGCUAAGGUCCCAAAGUCAUGGUUAAGUGGGAAACGAUGUGGGAAGGCACAGACAGCCAGGAUGUUGGCUUAGAAGCAGCCAUCAUUUAAAGAAAGCGUAAUAGCUCACUGGUCGAGUCGGCCUGCGCGGAAGAUGUAACGGGGCUAAACCAUGCACCGAAGCUGCGGCAGCGACACUAUGUGUUGUUGGGUAGGGGAGCGUUCUGUAAGCCUGCGAAGGUGACCUGUGAGGGUUGCUGGAGGUAUCAGAAGUGCGAAUGCUGACAUAAGUAACGAUAAAGCGGGUGAAAAGCCCGCUCGCCGGAAGACCAAGGGUUCCUGUCCAACGUUAAUCGGGGCAGGGUGAGUCGACCCCUAAGGCGAGGCCGAAAGGCGUAGUCGAUGGGAAACAGGUUAAUAUUCCUGUACUUGGUGUUACUGCGAAGGGGGGACGGAGAAGGCUAUGUUAGCCGGGCGACGGUUGUCCCGGUUUAAGCAUGUAGGCUGGUUGUCCAGGCAAAUCCGGAUAAUCAAGGCUGAGGUGUGAUGACGAGGCACUACGGUGCUGAAGUAACAAAUGCCCUGCUUCCAGGAAAAGCCUCUAAGCAUCAGGUAACAUUAAAUCGUACCCCAAACCGACACAGGUGGUCAGGUAGAGAAUACCAAGGCGCUUGAGAGAACUCGGGUGAAGGAACUAGGCAAAAUGGUGCCGUAACUUCGGGAGAAGGCACGCUGGUGUGUAGGUGAAGUCCCUGCGGAUGGAGCUGAGACCAGUCGAAGAUACCAGCUGGCUGCAACUGUUUAUUAAAAACACAGCACUGUGCAAACACGAAAGUGGACGUAUACGGUGUGACGCCUGCCCGGUGCCGGAAGGUUAAUUGAUGGGGUUAUCCGUAAGGAGAAGCUCUUGAUCGAAGCCCCGGUAAACGGCGGCCGUAACUAUAACGGUCCUAAGGUAGCGAAAUUCCUUGUCGGGUAAGUUCCGACCUGCACGAAUGGCGUAAUGAUGGCCAGGCUGUCUCCACCCGAGACUCAGUGAAAUUGAACUCGCUGUGAAGAUGCAGUGUACCCGCGGCAAGACGGAAAGACCCCGUGAACCUUUACUAUAGCUUGACACUGAACAUUGAGCCUUGAUGUGUAGGAUAGGUGGGAGGCUUUGAAGCGUGGACGCCAGUCUGCGUGGAGCCAACCUUGAAAUACCACCCUUUAAUGUUUGAUGUUCUAACGUUGGCCCCUUACCGGGGUUGCGGACAGUGUCUGGUGGGUAGUUUGACUGGGGCGGUCUCCUCCCAAAGCGUAACGGAGGAGCACGAAGGUUAGCUAAUCCUGGUCGGACAUCAGGAGGUUAGUGCAAUGGCAUAAGCUAGCUUGACUGCGAGCGUGACGGCGCGAGCAGGUGCGAAAGCAGGUCAUAGUGAUCCGGUGGUUCUGAAUGGAAGGGCCAUCGCUCAACGGAUAAAAGGUACUCCGGGGAUAACAGGCUGAUACCGCCCAAGAGUUCAUAUCGACGGCGGUGUUUGGCACCUCGAUGUCGGCUCAUCACAUCCUGGGGCUGAAGUAGGUCCCAAGGGUAUGGCUGUUCGCCAUUUAAAGUGGUACGCGAGCUGGGUUUAGAACGUCGUGAGACAGUUCGGUCCCUAUCUGCCGUGGGCGCUGGAGAAUUGAGGGGGGCUGCUCCUAGUACGAGAGGACCGGAGUGGACGCAUCACUGGUGUUCGGGUUGUCAUGCCAAUGGCACUGCCCGGUAGCUAAAUGCGGAAGAGAUAAGUGCUGAAAGCAUCUAAGCACGAAACUUGCCCCGAGAUGAGUUCUCCCUGAGACUUUAAGUCUCCUGAAGGAACGUUAAAGACGAUGACGUUGAUAGGCCGGGUGUGUAAGCGCAGCGAUGCGUUGAGCUAACCGGUACUAAUGAACCGUGAGGCUUAACCUU